rnacentral:rRNA from 1 species
CAAUAGCGUAUAUUAAAGUUGUUGCAGUUAAAAAGCUCGUAGUUGGAUUUCUGGUGGGGCUGUCGGCCUGGCUCCGAAAGGGGUCGUGGUUUCGUUACACGCCUGGCCAUCCUCGGGGGAAGCUUUGCUGGCAUUAAGUUGUCGGCGGAGUGACGCUCGUCGUUUACUGUGAACAAAUUAGAGUGUUCAAAGCAGGCUUAGGCCGUUGAAUACAUUAGCAUGGAAUAAUGAGAUAGGACUUUGGUGGUCUAUUUUGUUGGUUUGCACGCCGAAGUAAUGAUUAAUAGGGGCGGUUGGGGGUAUUCGUAUUCAAUUGUCAGAGGUGAAAUUCUUGGAUUUAUGGAAGACGAACUACUGCGAAAGCAUUUACCAAGGAUGUUUNCAUUA